rnacentral:rRNA from 1 species
AGAUUGAACGCUGGCGGCAGGCUUAACACAUGCAAGUCGAGCGGUAGCAGGCCUUCGGGUGCUGACGAGCGGCGGACGGGUGAGGAAUGCAUAGGAAUCUGCCUAUUAGUGGGGGAUAACACGGGGAAACUCGUGCUAAUACCGCAUACGUCCUACGGGAGAAAGCGGGGGAUCUUUGGACCUCGCGCUAAUAGAUGAGCCUAUGCCGGAUUAGCUAGUUGGUAGGGUAAAGGCCUACCAAGGCGACGAUCCGUAGCUGGUCUGAGAGGAUGAUCAGCCACACUGGGACUGAGACACGGCCCAGACUCCUACGGGAGGCAGCAGUGGGGAAUAUUGGACAAUGGGCGCAAGCCCGAUCCAGCCAUGCCGCGUGUGUGAAGAAGGCCUUCGGGUUGUAAAGCACUUUAAGUGGGGAGGAAGGUUAGUGGUUUAAUACGCUACUAAAUUGACGUUACCCACAGAAUAAGCACCGGCUAACUCUGUGCCAGCAGCCGCGGUAAUACAGAGGGUGCAAGCGUUAAUCGGAAUUACUGGGCGUAAAGCGCGCGUAGGUGGUUUUGUAAGUUGAAUGUGAAAUCCCCGGGCUUAACCUGGGAAUGGCAUCCAAAACUGCACGACUAGAGUAUGGGAGAGGGAGGUAGAAUUCCAGGUGUAGCGGUGAAAUGCGUAGAGAUCUGGAGGAAUACCGGUGGCGAAGGCGGCCUCCUGGCCUAAUACUGACACUGAGGUGCGAAAGCGUGGGUAGCAAACAGGAUUAGAUACCCUGGUAGUCCACGCCGUAAACGAUGAGAACUAGCCGUUGGUCUCCUUGAGAGGUUAGUGGCGCAGCUAACGCGAUAAGUUCUCCGCCUGGGGAGUACGGCCGCAAGGUUAAAACUCAAAUGAAUUGACGGGGGCCCGCACAAGCGGUGGAGCAUGUGGUUUAAUUCGACGCAACGCGAAGAACCUUACCUGGUCUUGACAUCCACGGAAUCCUGCAGAGAUGUGGGAGUGCCUUCGGGAACCGUGAGACAGGUGCUGCAUGGCUGUCGUCAGCUCGUGUUGUGAAAUGUUGGGUUAAGUCCCGUAACGAGCGCAACCCUUGUCCUUAGUUGCCAGCGAGUAAUGUCGGGAACUCUAAGGAGACUGCCGGUGACAAACCGGAGGAAGGUGUGGACGACGUCAAGUCAUCAUAGCCCUUACGACCAGGGCUACACACGUGCUACAAUGGCCGGUACAGAGGGUUGCCAAGCCGCGAGGUGGAGCCAAUCCCGAAAAGCCGGUCGUAGUCCGGAUUGCAGUCUGCAACUCGACUGCAUGAAGUCGGAAUCGCUAGUAAUCGCAGAUCAGAAUGCUGCGGUGAAUACGUUCCCGGGCCUUGUACACACCGCCCGUCACACCAUGGGAGUGGGUUGCACCAGAAGUAGUUAGCUUAACCGCAAGGGGAGCGAUUACCACGGUGUGAUUCAUGACUGGGGUGAAGUCGAAACAAGGUA